rnacentral:miRNA from 1 species
AAUUUACUCUGCAAUCUUCUCC